GAGGUUGUGGCUCAGUGGUAGAGUGCUCGCCUUGCCUGUGUGAGACCCUGGGUUGGAUCCUCAGCAUUGCA
rnacentral:tRNA from 1 species